GGACAGGUGGCCGAGCGGCUAAAGGCAACAGACUGUAAAUCUGUCGAACUAUGUUCUACGAAGAUUAGAAUCCUUCCCCGUCCA
rnacentral:tRNA from 1 species